GCAACCAUGACUUUGGUCUCCAUCUUCAUCUGGACACUCACCCUCUGGACUCAAGGAUCCAGUGGUCAGGUCACAGUGACUCAGACGCCUGCAGUGAAAACUGUUUCUCCAGGAGACUCAGUUACCAUCAGCUGUAAGUUCAGCAGCAAUGUUUAUCCCUACUGUGGUGGGUCAAAUGACUGUUUAGCCUGGUAUCAGCAGAAUCCUGGAGAAGCUCCUAAACUCCUGAUCUACUACGCUACCAGUAGACAGUCAGGUGUUCCAGCUCGUUUCAGUGGCAGUGGAUCCGGAUCUGACUUUACUCUGACCAUCAGUAAUGUCCAGACUGAAGAUUCAGGAGAUUAUUACUGUCAGAGUUAUCACAGUGGCUACGUGUUC